rnacentral:rRNA from 1 species
AUUGAACGCUGGCGGCAUGCUUUACACAUGCAAGUCGAACGGUAGCAGGGUGCUUGCACCGCUGACGAGUGGCGAACGGGUGAGUAAUGCGUCGGAACGUGCCGAGUAGUGGGGGAUAACGCAGCGAAAGUUGUGCUAAUACCGCAUACGUACUGAGGUAGAAAGUGGGGGACCUUCGGGCCUCACGCUAUUUGAGCGGCCGACGUCUGAUUAGCUAGUAGGUGAGGUAAAGGCUCACCGAGGCGACGAUCAGUAGCGGGUCUGAGAGGAUGAUCCGCCACACUGGGACUGAGACACGGCCCAGACUCCUACGGGAGGCAGCAGUGGGGAAUUUUGGACAAUGGGCGAAAGCCUGAUCCAGCCAUGCCGCGUGUCUGAAGAAGGCCUUCGGGUUGUAAAGGACUUUUGUCAGGGAGGAAAUCCCUAGCGUUAAUACCGCUGGGGGAUGACAGUACCUGAAGAAUAAGCACCGGCUAACUACGUGCCAGCAGCCGCAGUAAAAC